GCCGCGUCCACACGGCGCGGAGGGCUGGAGCCCGGCGUCCCUCGGCCGCAGUGCCUCCUCCUGGGCGCUGAUGGGGCCCGGCUCCUCCACCAGCGGUUUGCAAGCGUGAUUUUUAGCAGGAAAUCCCCCAUUAAAGAAUGGCUUACACAGACGCCACCCCGGGGUGGGCACUGGACGAGCCCGAGGCCGCGGCACCAGGAGGGUCAUCUCGUAGGGCGUCCGCUGCCUCUGGGCGCCCACCCACCCGUAACAGGCCCCUCCAGCAGAGCGUCCUGAGUGGACACGUAACACUGACCGUUGUCCCGGGGACAUACAGACUCCAGGACCCCGGGACCCCGGGACCCAUCGGGCUUCCGGACGCGGUCACCUGCGCGAAGGCCGAGGCACAGGCGGGCGCCUCCCCCCGCGGGUUCUCCGAUGCGUUCCCGGUUUCCUCGCUUCUGCUCAUACUGUUGACUCUGGCGUCACAGGCGAGGUCCUCGAACCCUCCCCGCGGCCAGCUCUAGCUGUCCCAGCGUCACCGGCCGAGUCGCUGUCCCGGGUGGGGUCCCGGGUGGACCCGUUUGCCCAUGGGACGGCGCCGCGCGGUUGUAACUAUGAUGCUUCGUAGUAUGUUCUGAUUUAAUUGGAUUUAGUUUUCUAUUUAAAACGUCUUGGAGGAGGGUGGCUGGGUGGCUCAGUGGCUGAGCGUCCGCCUUGGGCUCAGAGUGUGACCCUGGGGUCCCGGGUUCGAGUCCCGCAUCGGGCUCCCUGCACGGAGCCUGCUUCUCCCUCCGCCUGGGUCUCUGCCUCUCUCUGUGUCUCAUGAAUAAAUGAAUAAAAUCUUUAAAAAAAUAAAGUCUU
rnacentral:lncRNA from 12 species